AAUGAACGUUGGCGGCAUGGAUUAGGCAUGCAAGUCGUGCGAGAAGCUUCCCUUCGGGGAGGUGGACAGCGGCGGAAGGGAGAGGAAUGCGUGGACUAUCUACCCCCGGGACCGGGAUAGCGGCGGGAAACUGCCGGUAAUACCGGAUAACGUCUCCGGACCAAAUGGUGUGAUUCCGCCAGGGGACGGGUCCACGUCCUAUCAGCUUGUUGGUGAGGUAACGGCUCACCAAGGCGAUGACGGGUACGGGGUGUGAGAGCAUGCCCCCGCUCACUGGGACUGAGACACUGCCCAGACACCUACGGGUGGCUGCAGUCGAGAAUAUUCGGCAAUGGGCGCAAGCCUGACCGAGCGAUGCCGCGUGUGGGAUGAAGGCCUUCGGGUUGUAAACCACUGUCAGAGGGGAUGAAAUCCAUAAGGGUACUCUCUUAUGGUUGACAGAUCCUCAGAGGAAGGACGGGCUAAGUUCGUGCCAGCAGCCGCGGUAAGACGAACCGUCCAAACGUUAUUCGGAAUCACUGGGCUUAAAGGGUGUGUAGGCGGCACGGUAAGUUGGGUGUGAAAGCCCUCGGCUCAACCGAGGAACUGCGCCCAAAACUGCCGAGC
rnacentral:rRNA from 1 species